AUUAUAACGCUUGGCUAUACUCCUUGUUCUAAAACUCGUCCAUCCGCCUAGACGCUGCCAAAAAGAGGCAGUAUCAAUUUUGUCCAAACGGUAAAAAUAAUCGUUGAUUCGAUUUUCUGUCCACCUACACCGAUUAAUAUAGCCGUCUAGACGGCACCUACCCCAUUUUUCUUUUUUUUUUGGAUCUAAAAUUCAAAGCGUCCAAUUUUUAUUCGUAAUUUGUAUAAAAUCUUGUUUAAUGCAAUUUUAAAAACAAUAUUAUAUAGAUUCCGCGGUUUCUUUAACACGGGCUAUACUUAAUUGUUCCCUAUUUUGUGUCCAUGAUUUUUUUUUCCUUUUAAAGCCAUUGUUAUACAAACGAAAACCCAAAUAUUAUAUGAAAGUGUUUUUAUCUUUAUGAUAUGGUAUACCUUAUUUAUUUUCUUAUUUUUCCAUUAAUCUUAUUAUAUAAAGUUUAAUUUCUCGACAAGAUAUUGCCAUCUUUGAGAAAGUCCCGAUGAGAGGGACUAAUGAGUUCCUUGCAACUGAAAAGUACUGCUUUAAUCUGUUUAGUCAGCAAAGUACCUCUCUCCCGUAAAAUCUAGUAAAACGUUUUAGUCCUUUUCUUUCGUAAC
rnacentral:sRNA from 1 species